UAUUAUUUAUUUUUUUGAGUUUUUUCUAUGGUGGAUCUUGUGGUAUUCUUGAAGGGAUUGUCACAUGUCAGCCAUUGGUUCUGCAGCUGCACAAGACAGACAAAGGACAGAUGGAGUAUGUUGAGUUUCUUCACUCGCUAAAGAGGAGAUUUUCAGGUUUAGCAACAAACAUCUUCAAGUAGGCAGAGGAACUGCAAGGGAAAAGUAAUUACUCUCUACUACCAUUGAUCCGAAAUGUUUUUUUAAUGAAAUAAUGAAACUUUGAAGAACAUAUUGGAAAUUGGAUAUCCAAGAGAUGACACUUGAUACGAAAAUUCACCUCAAUCAGAGUAUAUUGACCUCCCCCAGUACAGGCGAGCAACAUGUGUGUUUGCAGCAACCAUUACUCACCAACAGCUUUGAUUCUGUUCACUCAUCAUUACCUCCUAGCUUUGCCACACUACUGACAAGCUGUUCAACAGAAAAUUUGAAAGAGAUACUUGUUGGAUUCUUUUGAUUACACAACUAGCUCAAAGUAUUUGUUAGAGUCAGAACCUACAUCGAGUGAUUUGAUUACACAUUGGAUUGCAGGGCUAUGGACCGUGAAGACGAUCAGCCCAACAGUGCCAUCCAUGUUCAACAAGCUAAUGCAUGAAGUGGCUUGAUGAGAGAUUUACCAGUUCGGUCUUCUCCAUUUCAUUCGAAAGUGUGGCCAAUCUCGGAGUGGACCGCGUGAAGGAUUUUUAUUUAUUUUUAUGUAUUCAAGACCAUUUUCAACGUAUUGUUGUAAAUAUUAAAUAUUUUAUUGUAACGUAAUACAAUUUUGUUUAAUAUUCAUUUUUAA